AAUAAAACCAACCAACACCCACUAAUGCAAAGUCCCCCAGCUCUUCAGAUCAGUUGUUGAGGCCCUUGAUUGACGAGAGAGAUAUCAAAAUUAUAUUUUUAAUACCAUGAUUUUGCUUUUUCUUUUCUGUUAGACCAGCUUUUUAUUCUUUCGGAGACCAAAACAAAAAAUAAACAGGAGACAAAUAAAUAUAGAAAGAGAGAGGUGAAGCUGGUAAUGGGCCAUGGCAAUCCACAUUCCACACCCACCCUUUUAUUAUUCUUUGCUUUGAUUUUCAGGCUUUCCUUCUUCUUUACUGCAACUCGUACCGUUGUUGUCACCACCUUUCCCUUUUUUUGCCAUCCCAAAAUCUUUGCUUUCAGUGCCCCCCUUCCUCCAAAAGUAUCUCCUUUUUUGGGACAGCGUUGCCGAUACUUACCAUCGGCAAUGGGUUCUGGAAAUUUGUUGAAGACAAUAAUAAAGAAAGUGAAAAAUGACAGCCCAAAGCAAGUGAAGGGAUCUUCAGCUUCUACAAAAUCCAAUGGCUUCAAAUGGAAGAAACGCCAGCGAAAGUCAUCCACUAAAACAAGUUUUACUAGUGGAAAUUCGAACACUCUUGGCAUGCCAAUUGAGGAUUUAGCAGCAAUUCGGAUUCAAACUGCAUUCCGGGCCUAUAGGGCUAGGAAGAGUUUACGUCGAUUGAAAGGUACAGUAAGAUUACAGGCUAAAACCCAAACUUAUUCCAUCGAAAAGCAAGCUACAACAACAUUAAAUUAUCUUCAUUCAUGGAGCAACAUACAGGCUCAGAUAAGGGCACGUCGACUCUGUAUGGUAACAGAAGGGCGUCUUAGACAGAAGAAAAUAGCAAAUCAGCUGAAGCUUGAGGCAAAACUACAUGACAUAGAGGUGGAAUGGUCUGGUGGCCCUGAAACAAUGGAGACAAUUCUCGCAAAAAUACAUCAGAGAGAAGAAGCAGCUGUUAAGCGGGAGCGAACUAUGGCAUAUGCCUUUUCCCAUCAGUGGAGGGCCCCCAACUCUAACAACAAUGGGCUUGGUAAUUAUGAGCUUGCCAAAGCUAAUUGGGGUUGGAGCUGGGUGGAACGCUGGAUUGCUGUUCGCCCAUGGGAGAGCCGCCUCCCCAUUCAGUCCAUUACCCCUAAGAAAGCACAGACUAGACAGAUAAGCAAGGCUGGUAAAAACUCAAAUUCGCCAAAACCAAAAGCAUCAGCAUCAGUUAAACCUCCUUUCCCCAAUGGGAAGGGAGCCUUGAAACCUAGGAGGUUGUCUUACCCUGGUGCUGAGAAACCCGCCGCACAUCGAGAAAGCUCUAAAGCUGAGGAAGUAAACAAUAAAAAAGAAGAGACAGUUACUUAGUAGCAAGGCAAAGAUAUAGUUAAGAGUGUCCUUUCGGUUUUCAAAAAAUUUGUGUUGCCGAUAACUCAUCAGCUAUAAGUGAGCACAUCCUAUUUUCUUCUAUUUAGGUGUUGAAAAUUAUGUAUUUAUGUACUAUGGUUUUGUUUCUAGCUCGUUGUAUAGGAAGUGGCCUUGCGUGAGAACAGAAAUCACAGCACGGCUUGGUUUUGGGGCAGAAAUGAACUUUUUCAGAAUUUCAGCUAUCCUGCGCCCUCUUAUUGAAAUCAAGACUGAGGAUUGAAUGCGGACAACAGCCACUCUCUGCCCAUGUUUUCCAUUACGCUAAUGAUUCUAUCCAGACAUGAAUUGCGUGUAAAAAUUAGAUCCUAAUGGCUUUAAGUUAGGUGCUGGGAGCAGUAGGUGGCUGAAGUUGUUCUGCUUUUUUAAAGGUUAUUUCUAUUUGUAGCUUUGUCAAGGAGGGGCCAGUAACAUCCAAACCUUUUGCUUCUAGUUGAACUACUGCUAUAAUGGGAUCUAUUCAACUUUCCAGCUCUAUCCUGAAGAUACUAUCUGUAAUGGACAGCUUAGGGCCGAGUAAUUAAUUGAUUCUUGAUAGACAACCAGCUCCCUUGAGGCCCCUUGGUGUUAGCCCUUGUUCUCGUUAGUGCCCUUGCUAACGAAAUCAAACGUCUGAAGUUAUGACUAACUAGUAGAUGGGGGCUCUUUCAGUCAUCACCAGGAAAAGUAGUAUAGGCCCUCUCAAUUAUUUGGGGUAGUUCUGUUGCUUAUCCAAUCACCAACACGGUGUUAUGAAUUCGGAGAAGCUGCCUACUUCUAUAUGGAUUGAUAGCUCCUUGUUGCCAUUUAUGGAGUAUGGCUCACCUUUCAUUGUGAAGACUACUUUGGAUGUUACCUACCAGAAAUGGAUUAGGAUUAGUUUUGUUGAAGUUUGAGCAAACCAUGUUACAGGUUAAAAGUUCAUUCAUUUAGUUUGAGCAAUUUUUUCUCUUUGAAUAUGUUUUCAACGUCAAUCUUUAUAAAAUAUUAUCUAUUUUGAUUCAUUAA